rnacentral:rRNA from 1 species
GACGAACGCUGGCGGCGUGCUUAACACAUGCAAGUCGAACGGAAAGGCCCUGCUUUUGUGGGGUGCUCGAGUGGCGAACGGGUGAGUAACACGUGAGUAACCUGCCCUUGACUUUGGGAUAACUUCAGGAAACUGGGGCUAAUACCGGAUAGGAGCUCCUGCUGCUUUGUGGGGGGUGGAAAGUUUCGGUGGUUGGGGAUGUACUCGCGGCUUAUCAGCUUGUUGGUGGGGUAGUGGCUUACCAAGGCUUUGACGGGUAGCCGGCCUGAGAGGGUGACCGGCCACAUUGGGACUGAGAUACGGCCCAGACUCCUACGGGAGGCAGCAGUGGGGAAUAUUGCACAAUGGGCGGAAGCCUGAUGCAGCAACGCCGCGUGCGGGAUGACGGCCUUCGGGUUGUAAACCGCUUUCGCCUGUGACGAAGCGUGAGUGACGGUAAUGGGUAAAGAAGCACCGGCUAACUACGUG